rnacentral:rRNA from 1 species
UCCUACGGGAGGCAGCAGUGGGGAAUUUUGGACAAUGGGCGAAAGCCUGAUCCAGCAAUGCCGCGUGUGUGAAGAAGGCCUUCGGGUUGUAAAGCACUUUUGUCCGGAAAGAAAUCCUUGGCUCUAAUACAGUCGGGGGAUGACGGUACCGGAAGAAUAAGCACCGGCUAACUACGUGCCAGCAGCCGCGGUAAUACGUAGGGUGCGAGCGUUAAUCGGAAUUACUGGGCGUAAAGCGUGCGCAGGCGGUUUGCUAAGACUGAUGUGAAAUCCCCGGGCUCAACCUGGGAACUGCAUUGGUGACUGGCAGGCUAGAGUAUGGCAGAGGGGGGUAGAAUUCCACGUGCAGCAGUGAAAUGCGUAGAGAUGUGGAGGAAUACCGAUGGCGAAGGCAGCCCCCUGGGCCAAUACUGACGCUCAUGCACGAAAGCGUGGGGAGCAAACAGGAUUAGAUACCCUGGUAGUCCACGCCCUAAACGAUGUCAACUAGUUGUUGGGGAUUCAUUUCCUUAGUAACGUAGCUAACGCGUGAAGUUGACCGCCUGGGGAGUACGGUCGCAAGAUUAAAACUCAAAGGAAUUGACGGGGACCCGCACAAGCGGUGGAUGAUGUGGAUUAAUUCGAUGCAACGCGAAAAACCUUACCUACCCUUGACAUGGUCGAAAUCCCGCUGAGAGGUGGGAGUGCUCGAAAGAGAACCGGCGCACAGGUGCUGCAUGGCUGUCGUCAGCUCGUGUCGUGAGAUGUUGGGUUAAGUCCCGCAACGAGCGCAACCCUUGUCCUUAGUUGCUACGCAAGAGCACUCUAAGGAGACUGCCGGUGACAAACCGGAGGAAGGUGGGGAUGACGUCAAGUCCUCAUGGCCCUUAUGGGUAGGGCUUCACACGUCAUACGAUGGUCGGAACAGAGGGUUGCCAACCCGCGAGGGGGAGCUAAUCCCAGAAAACCGAUCGUAGUCCGGAUUGCACUCUGCAACUCGAGUGCAUGAAGCUGGAAUCGCUAGUAAUCGCGGAUC